AAAAGAUGCAGGACCUGGAAGUGCAGGGGAGUUAAUGCCUUGUACCACCCUUGACCAAGGGGAAUGGAAGAUAAGGAAUAGAUGUUUUCACUUCUUUUCUUUUGAACCAUUCUGAGGUUUAUUUCCUAAAUCUGCUAAGAAUGUCCCACAGAAUUGAGGGUCAUUGCCUGUAUUAUGGACUGACUUGAUAACACAUCCUUGUGUUGUUUUUCCUUCUUCCAUCUUUCACUUUCGGUCCAUCUCUUAUCUCCUGGGACCACUCUCUAAGCAAACCACCUGCCUGCACGUACUAUUAUACAUCAAGUUCUGUUUACAGGAGAACCCGCAGAAAGUCAGUGUUCGCUUAUCAUACAAUGCUUUUAAUUAUUCAUACAACUUAUUCAACAAGAAGUUACCAAGAACCAGUUCCACUAUGGACCCUGUGACAGAUGUUCAGGUACAAAGAAGAGUCAAGGCAGCCCUCGUCUCCCUCACAACACAGCUCAGGCUGUGACCCUCAUGUGUUCAACCUUUACUGUCUGCCCACCUUCGCUUGCUUGGACAGCUUCGUGGCAAGAGGUUCUCUUCACCACCAGCUAUGAUUCCUUCCACUUUCCCUCCAAUCAACAUCCUCUUCUGAUCUCACAGCUAUUUCUCAGGCCUCUUGAAAUAUUGAAAAUAGCAUGAGAAUGAACUUUAUUUCACCUGCAAGCCCUUAGAUUGCAAGGCUGGGAACAGAUCUGAUCUAAUCUGAUUCAUCGGAUGAGGAACAUGAAACUCAAAGACAAAUGAACCUCCCAAGCUACAAACUCCAGGAUGCAGCCAGUGGGACCAUAACCGAAUGUGCUGGCUCCGGAUCCGCAGCCCCGUCAGGAGCGAUACAACAGCGGCCGUUAUAUUCCCUGUUUGUUUUUCAAAUCAGGAAUCAUGCAGCCCCAGUGUCCUUAAAGAUAACCAGAAAGAGGAAAGAAGGAAAUGUUCACUCUAAGAAAAUGUAUUAAGCAAUUUUGGCAUUUAGUAUGGAGUUUGGCACAUUAUGUCUGGAAACAUAAAUCAUUCAUGGCCCUGGAAAUAUUAAGCAUUCAAGGGAGAUGGUUUUAAUAUUACUUUCUUCUUUUUCGUCAGCCUUCUGAAGACUGUAGUGGGCAAAGGGUGGUUUACCCCAGUUAGACUCCACUCACCCAGGCUUUCUGGCAGAUUUCAUUCCAGCUGCUGCUCUGACUUCAGGCCCUAGGAAUACGCAUACAGCCCGGCACCCAGCCAUCCCACCAAACAGACGCAUUCAUGUUUGGUCUCCUCUGAUUCAUGAGCUUCAGGCUGCUUUAAUUUCCUGCGAUUUCUUCAUAAAACAUUGAAUAUUCAAUGCUCAUUUUGAUGUUGGGGUUUUGAGAGGUUUAGGGGUGGGGGUUUAGCUUGCUUUUCCUGGAGUUAAUUUCUCCAUUUGAUGUGAGAUUAAUGGUCCUGUGGAUGCUUGUGAGUAAUCAGAGUUUACUAGAGAGAAGCACAGAGCUUUACAAGCCAGAAGGGCUUUCUUUGCCUCUAUUUACUGUUUCCUGAGAAAUCAACAACACCAUAUUGUGGAAAGCCAAUUACCACCCUAUACAAGGUUAAGCUUUUCAUCCAGGACAGCUUAAUUGUUGAGGUAAAUAUAUCAUUGAGAACUUCUGUCUUAUAAGACCAAAGCAUUUCGGAGCACCUCAUAUAGCAUCAGAGACAAAAGACCUCAAUAAAAUUUUAAUGAAUCAAUGAAUGAAUGAGAUUUACCAAAUAAAGUAGUUUCAUUCUUUCUUUAUUACCUAAUUCAAAAAAAAAAAUGAUUUGAAGCAAUGAGAAAUGUAUUGCCUUUAAAAAGGGGGAGGAGAAACACACAAAACAGAUAAGGUAUCAAGCUCUAGUCCCCUUCCUGAAAAUAAAAUACAGAAUGAAGCACCCUGAUGCCUGCAGCAUGGAGGGAAACUCUUCCCAUCUCUGCCUGGUCCAGGGUAGGGGCAGCAGGCUGCAGGUCCCCGAGAUUAGCCUCAGAGCCACAGGAUUUGGCGAUCUGCUAGACCUUGCCUCCCGGUUGGGGUGAUUCCCAUGGCAAGCUCCUCAAUGCCAUGUUCCUGCGAAGUGCUGUUAGCCACGUUUCUGUGUAGAUAAAUCUACCUUAAUGAGAAAUGUCAUCUUCAGAGUUGAAGUGAAUCCAUUUCAGCAAAUGGAUUUCUCUCCCUCAGAAGGGAAAAUACUAAAAUCCAGAAUGCUGUUUUGUCCAAAUGUUAACACUGAACCCGAAAAUUGUCUCUCACCAUCAUAUAGGUUACUUUGGAGGAACUGUUUGUGGUUAAAUUAAUCAAAUUAUGGAUUCAACUGUGGCUGGGAGAUCACAGCCUGAUAGAAAAAGAAAAAUUACAAGGUAGGCUGGGCAUGGUGGCUUACGCCUGCAGUCCCAGCAUUUUGGGAGGCUGAGACGGGAAGACUGCUUGAGUACAGGAGUUCAAGACCAGCCUGGGCAACAUAGAGAAACCCUAUCUCUAUGAAAUAUUUAAAAACUAGCCAGGUGUGCUGGCAUACACCUGUAGUCCCAGCUACCCAUGAGGCUGAGGUGGGAAGAUCACUUGAGCCCAGCAGAUCCACCCUGGGUGACAGAGUGAGAUCCUGUCUCAAAUAAAUCUUUAAAAAUUAAAAAAAAUAGGCAGUCUUUAGAAAAAGCUGCGUUUCUAAAACACAUUACAACUUUUAUGUAAGUGUGUGUUACAUUGAACUCUACACUUCAAAUAGAUAAUGUUGGGGAGAUAUUAUUUUCUGACUUGGCAGAUGGGAACCCAAGUCACAGAGGAGGAAUCGCUAGCUCAACGCUUUACAACUCGGAGGCAACACAGUGUUGCUCCAUGCACACAGACUCUGGAGUCCUAGAGAGCUAGCUUGUGAGUCCCGUUCUCUCUUUAGCUAACUUCAUAUCCCACAUACCCUGACACAGGUUACCCAGUCUCUGAGAUUCAGUUUCAUCAUAGUAAUCAUUAUAAUAAUAUCUAACUUUUGAGGUUGAUUUGAGAAUUCAGACAAUGUAUAUAAAGCGCCUUUCACAACAUGUGCAUUUGAUAAACAGAUAUUUUAUUAUUGCUAUGCUCAAACUAGAAUAACAAUGUGAAUCUCUAUGUUCCAAACUUUAUCUGUCUCCUAAUCAGCAGGUUGUCUGCCUGUUAAAUCGAACCUUCUCUAGGUUACCAAUUCUAAUUAGACAUACUUGCAUAGUUGGCUAUGUAAGUAGAGCAAAAGCUGCCAUUAUAUACGUGUGUGUAUGGGAAUGGUGAGGGUUAUGUUUCAUAGAGUUCCUUUUUACACCAGGCAUUUUGCACACGUUAGAUCGCUCAAUCCCCACACAAUCUUAUAUGAUGAAUAUCAUCAUCUCUAUACAUAAUUAAACUGAAGCUAUGGCAUUGCCAAACACCGCCAAGCCAGUAAUAACCAAAGUCCAUUAGUUAGGGACAAUGUCUAUCUUGUUCACAGAUUCUAUCAUCAGUCAUGCAUUUAGCCUGGUACUUACUGAGUGCUCCAUAUUUAUGGAAAAAAAUUGAUAAACUAAGAUUCAAGUAUUUAUCUGACUCAUCUUGCUGCCGUUAUUAAAGACUGCCUCUUUCAGUAAACACUGGCUUCAGCAGUUCUCAGCCUGCUUGUAUUUCAUAAUUACUGGGAGGUUUUCUAUGGGGCUGGCAGGGGCGCUCCCCAGACCAUUGGAAUUAGAACCUCUAUGGAAUCAGCACUCGUGCAUGUUCUCCUACAAGAGAUGUUGAUGACCCCCCACACCUGUAUGAAGAAGGAAACUUCCUCUGGGGGAGUAUCCAAAUGGAUCAGUGGAAGAUUCAAUAUAUCCAACUAGUAGUAAGCAGUUGGAAGUUUUAUUACCCUUUUAUUUUCAAUCGUGAGAACCAGGUUUCUUAGUGUCACUUGAAUGCUGAUAAAACUAUUAUCUUAGACAGACUUUCUACAACAUUAUAAUUUUUCUUAAGUUUAAUAAUAAGUAAGAAUUAUUAUUUGUCUUCCUGGGAGGCAAUGCCUUUCUUUUUCACCUCUGC
rnacentral:lncRNA from 1 species